rnacentral:lncRNA from 1 species
CUUUCUCAAAUUCUCUAGUUUAAAAAUACAAACGAUACGUCAAAUUAUACUAGGCUUUGACCUAUAAAUUGAAAAAAAAAACAUGGUAUACGUCGAAUAUUUUUGAUAUUUGACGUUUUCUUCUUCAGCCUCCUGCCCUUUGGUAUCCUUUUUUUAAUUUAAACCGCCCAUAACCUCCUAUUACCCCUGCCCUUUUGUUUCCUUUUUUCAUUCAAACCGCCUAUAACCUCCCG